rnacentral:rRNA from 1 species
AGUGAACGCUGGCGAUAGGCCUAACACAUGCAAGUCGAACGGCAGCACAGUAAGAGCUUGCUCUUACGGGUGGCGAGUGGCGGACGGGUGAGGAAUACAUCGGAAUCUACUUUUUCGUGGGGGAUAACGUAGGGAAACUUACGCUAAUACCGCAUACGACCUACGGGUGAAAGCAGGGGAUCUUCGGACCUUGCGCGAUUGAAUGAGCCGAUGUCGGAUUAGCUAGUUGGCGGGGUAAAGGCCCACCAAGGCGACGAUCCGUAGCUGGUCUGAGAGGAUGAUCAGCCACAAUGGAACUGAGACACGGUCCAGACUCCUACGGGGGGCAGCAGUGGGGAAUAUUGGACAAUGGGCGCGAGCCUGAUCCAGCCAUACCGCGUGGGUGAAGAAGGCCUUCGGGUUGUAAAGCCCUUUUGUUGGGAAAGAAAAGCAGCAGGUUAAUACCCCGCUGUUAUGACGGUACCCAAAGAAUAAGCACCGGCUAACUUCGUG